GACGAACGCUGGCGGCGCGCUUAACACAUGCAAGUCGAACGGUGAACCGGGCUUCGGCCUGGGGAUCAGUGGCGAACGGGUGCGUAACACGUGGGCAACCUGCCCCUCACUCUGGGAUAACCCCGGGAAACCGGAGCUAAUACCGGAUACUUCGAGCGGUCCGCAUGGUCCGAUCGGGAAAGGUCCGCCGGUGAGGGAGGGGCCCGCGGCCUAUCAGCUUGUUGGUGAGGUAACGGCCCACCAAGGCGACGGCGGGUAGCUGGUCUGAGAGGACGACCAGCCACACUGGGACUGAGAUACGGCCCAGAGUCCUACGGGAGGCAGCAGUGGGGAAUAUUGCACAAUGGGGGAAACCCUGAUGCAGCAACGCCGCGUGAGUGAUGAAGGCCUUCGGGUUGUAAAGCUCUGUCUUUGGGGACGAUAAUGACGGUACCCAAGGAGGAAGCCACGGCUAACUACGUGCCAGCAGCCGCAGUAAGAC
rnacentral:rRNA from 1 species